GCGAGGUGACACUCCAUCAGUGCUGUACGUAAUAAACCCACAUGCUUGAUUCUACACGGUGUCCAUAUUUGUUCCUUCAGAUGGGGGCUCGUCCGGGAUACACGCUUGUGAACUGAUUGAGGAACUGAGACUGAAAUCCAAAAGGAGAAAAACAUCACCUCCUGCAGAACAGCUUAAUGUCCGUGCCUGCUACCAAAUGCAGAAGAAUGAGGAUAUUACAGCACUGGAGCAGAAAGAUUUUGGAAAGGAAAAAGGGGCUACUGGAGCAAGCUUCAUCAUCAUGUUUACCACACCCACCAUCUCCCUGGGCCUAUGAUAUCCAGAUCCUGAAAGAUGUCCCGACCAAACCGGGCCAGAGAGAGGGAGUCAGACGACGCCACUACUUCCACCAGUUCUGACUGAAUCCCAAACACCACCUGGGAUGUAAGACUUUGUCUCCUCCCUCCAGCCCCACCACGUGUUCUUCUCCUUCCCCACUUUAUUUCUUCCCUUUCCUAUCCCUCUCCUUUUUCCUUCUGUCUAAUAAGAGCCUGGUUGAGCUGGGCAAGACUGUAUAUUUGCAACAGUCUAUGACCAGAAAGAGGCAACUAAAAACAAUGCCCUAACAGCCCAAUGCAGGUGUAAGCUUGCUAGGUCUCAAAGUGGCUGGUAAGACCUUGUGCUGUGCCUGUGUUUCUUGAGUAGUGAGGUUGCAAGUGAGAGUCAACAACAGACAGAAGCUGUAUCUACCUGUGUUGUUCUUUUUGCUUCCUUUUAUGCAUGUUUGUCUUGUCUUGUCUUGUCUUCUUAGCAAACUGGAUCAGACUUUAACAACAUCAACGGCUCCAGCCCUCAUCAACUAACUUCUUUCUUCCUCCAGAAGGACAGUUACCAUUUUUAAUACCAUCCAAAAGGCUGUCAAACAAGGGCUUUUUCCUUCUGUAAUCUUUCUCCAGCCGGGGUGCUGGAACAAGUUGGAUAGUAGGGGUGCUGAGAGCCAUUGAACCAAACUGUAAACCCUGGAAACCACUUCAAGACAGGGGGUGCGGUAGCACCCCCAGUUUCAGCACCUAUGCCUCCAGCUAAGGGGAACAUGGGGUGUUGUUAAAAUGAAAGCUUUAUUUAGUAUUUUACAUUUCAAAUGCUUUAACUGUUUUUUCUUUUCUGUAUCUUUAAUAAAAGGUGGUGUUGUUUUUUUAAAUGAUGUGUCUGCCUUGAUACUAAGCAGGCUAAGGUCUCUGUAUACCAAACCCCAAACCUUGUUUACCACGGUUUAAUGUGGACAAUGACUGGGUCAUGUUAACACCUUUAGCCCAUAUAUUCUAUCUAAAUUAAUACUACAGAGCAAGCUCUGUUUUUGGGAGAGCACUGGCCAUAUGAGGGAUUUCUUUGUAUCCCUGUUUACAUUAGUAAUCAAUGUAAAAGAGCCUACUUAGCAACCCCUCAUCAGUGUGAGACUCAUAGCACCCUCUUAAGGAACAUACUGCCGUACAGUUGCUUCUGUCUUGUGC